rnacentral:tRNA from 1 species
GUGGAAUUAGCUUAGUUGGUUAAAGCGCCAGGUUGUGGCCCUGGAGACCGUGGGUUCGAGUCCCAUAUUUCACCCCA